UACGUAGGUGGCAAGCGUUGUCCGGAUUUACUGGGCGUAAAGAGCGCGCAGGCGGUCGUUCAAGUCGCGUGUGAAAGCCCCCGGCUCAACUGGGGAGGGUCACGCGAUACUGAUCGACUCGAAGGCAGGAGAGGGAAGUGGAAUUCCCGGUGUAGUGGUGAAAUGCGUAGAUAUCGGGAGGAACACCAGUGGCGAAGGCGACUUCCUGGCCUGUUCUUGACGCUGAGGCGCGAAAGCUAGGGAGCAACGGG
rnacentral:rRNA from 1 species